ensembl:lncRNA
CAAACAUGGCGGCAUUAGAGCAGUGAAUGCUUGUUGCCUUGUGAAAUUUACGAGGUUCAAUAUAAAUGCUGCCAUCAGCAAUGACAUGUUGAGACACUGAACAGUUUGGGGUUCUAGUCUCACGUCAUCAGAAAUGGCAAACGUCCAAACGCCACACGAGAAGGUGGUCAAAUCCCAUGUGGAGCAGAAUCCUCCACAAACCUCCCAGACGUCUAAAAGCAGCUACUGCAUUUUGUGUCGCAGCUGGUAUUUGAGGCAUGAAGCACACGAGCAUAUGCACAGCAUGCUGCAUCACAGAGAGCUGGAGUCAGUGUUGGGCAAAGAUUCCUUUCAUGACUGUCAGGCAUGCAAAGCUUCCUCCAUGGGUUUAAAUGAGUAUGCCCAGCACAUCUCGACCGUUCAGCACAAAGCCAAGUUGAAGAGCUUGAUGUCCAAAAAUGUGAAGCCCCUGUCUCUGUUUAAGACUCUCAGCACAGAGUCUAUAACCCAGAUCAAGGAGAGAAACAAGGCACUGAAAAGAGAGAAGAAGAAAGUAACAAAAAAAAAGAAAAAGAAACUGAAGCAGGUGGCUGGUCAGAGGCGUGCUCAUUUGUCAAAGGGAACCACCAAAACAAAGACUGGUGCAUCCAAAGUGGAAAAGCAUAGACAGUCAAAACAGGUGCAGCUGGAGCAAAGGCAGAAUGAUGAGCACAAAGGCAGGAGCAAUGGUGUCGUCCAGAACAAGGAGAACAAAGUAUCCAGUAAGCAAAGACCUCCUCACAAUGCAGAAUCAAGCCUUCAUUGUCAAAGCAGGAGACUGGCUCCUAUGUCUGGAGAGCCCGAAGGUCGAAGCUGGCAUAACGCUUCUGUCAACAAUCAGCCCUGCCGAGUCAAACUUGUGACCUCCCAAAUGGAAAGAUUCGUCGAGACUCAAGGGGGUGCCACCGACCUCUGGCACCAGAUGGCAGGACCUUCUGUGAGCCAGUACAACUAUCGCAGCAGGAAGUAUAAUGGUGCAACAAACACAGUCUUCACCAGCGACCAGCUCCCUGAUAAUGGAGCCAUCAUCUUUGAUCGGAGCCAAGCUGCGACUACACGGCAGGAAAGUGUACGCCGCUCAGCUCAACCUGCACCGGCCAACAGCGCAGCUCCUAUACGAGAAGUUGAUGUCACUGCCAUGCUGAAGCAAAUCAGAAGAGCGCUGGGUGUGAGGGAGCCAUGCAGAGCAGACCGAGAAGCCCGGAGACAGAAGAGUGAGGCCGGCGUCCAGGUGGCUGAUCCCGUGACCUCACAACAAAGCAGAACUGAGGCAGAGCAGCCAGCAGGCACCUCCGCUCUGACUGAAAAAGCUCAGGACCAUGAAAAGAGCUCAGGAGGUGCAGACAGACUGCCAAACAACGGGAAUAAUGCAUCUCAGGUGGCCACCAACGGCCUGACUUCACCUAAAAGAUGUACUGAAAAGACCGCUUCAUCUGAGCCGGACUCAAACAAACCUAAGGUUCGAAUUGCUCACAAAGCAGGCCAAGCUCAUGGGGAGAAGGAGGCUGGAUGUAAAUCAACUACAAACACGUUGCUUAGCUUUUCGGGGGCCAGGAGUAAUCAGAACUGGACAGCAGGGCAUGAGGAGGUGAAAAGGAAGGCAAAAGGCACGCAGAGGUGAGGAAAUCGCCAUCCAAUAAGGUGUUUCGUUGUAUUUGUGCUUUCCCAGUUUG